UGAGACACGGCCCAGACUCCUACGGAAGGCAGCAGUGGGGAAUUUUCCGCAAUGGGCGAAAGCCUGACGGAGCAAGACCGCGUGAGGGAUGACGGCCUAAUGGUUGUAAACCUCUUUUCUCUGGGAAGAUAAUGACGGUACCAGAGGAAUAAGCCUCGGCUAACUCCGUGCCAGCAGCCGCGGUAAUACGGAGGAGGCAAGCGUUAUCCGGAAUUAUUGGGCGUAAAGCGUCCGUAGGUGGUUAAUCAAGUCAGCUGUUAAAGAGCGGAGCUCAACUCCGUUAGAGCGGUUGAAACUGAUUGACUAGAGUUUGGUAGGGGUCGAGGGAAUUCCCAGUGUAGCGGUGAAAUGCGUAGAUAUUGGGAAGAACACCGGUGGCGAAAGCGCUCGACUGGGCCUGAACUGACACUGAGGAACGAAAGCUAGGGGAGCGAAAGGGAUUAGAUACC
rnacentral:rRNA from 1 species